UACAGAGGGGGGCUAGCGUUGCUCGGAAUCACUGGGCGUAAAGGGCGCGUAGGCGGAUCUUUUAAGUCGGGGGGUGAAAGCCUGUGGCUCAACCACAGAAUUGCCUUUGAUACUGGGGAUCUCGAGACCGGAAGAGGUGAGUGGAACUGCGAGUGUAGAGGUGAAAUUCGUAGAUAUUCGCAAGAACACCAGUGGCGAAGGCGGACUCACUGGUCCGGUUCUGACGCUGAGGCGCGAAAGCGUGGGGAGCAAACAGG
rnacentral:rRNA from 1 species